AUUGAACGCUGGCGGCAGGCCUAACACAUGCAAGUCGAACGAGUGGCGGACGGGUGAGUAAUGUCUGGGAAACUGCCUGAUGGAGGGGGAUAACUACUGGAAACGGUAGCUAAUACCGCAUACCAUCGGAUGUGCCCAGAUGGGAUUAGCUUGUGGGUGGGGUAACGGCUCACCUAGGCGACGAUCCCUAGCUGGUCUGAGAGGAUGACCAGCCACACUGGAACUGAGACACGAUCCAUACUCGUACGGUAGGCAGCAUUGGGGAAUAUUGCACAAUGGGCGCAAGCCUGCUGCAGCCAUGCCGCGUGUAUGAAGAAGGCCUUCGGGUUGUAAAGUACUUUCAGCGAGGAGGCGUUACCCGCAGAAGAAGCACCGGCUAACUCCGUGCCAGCAGCCGCGGUAAUUC
rnacentral:rRNA from 1 species